rnacentral:rRNA from 1 species
ACUCCUACGGGAGGCAGCAGUGGGGAAUUUUGGACAAUGGGCGAAAGCCUGAUCCAGCAAUGCCGCGUGAGUGAAGAAGGCCUUCGGGUUGUAAAGCUCUUUUGUCAGGGAAGAAACGGUGAAAGCUAAUAUCUUUUGCUAAUGACGGUACCUGAAGAAUAAGCACCGGCUAACUACGUGCCAGCAGCCGCGGUAAUACGUAGGGUGCAAGCGUUAAUCGGAAUUACUGGGCGUAAAGCGUGCGCAGGCGGUUUUGUAAGUCUGAUGUGAAAUCCCCGGGCUCAACCUGGGAAUUGCAUUGGAGACUGAAAGGCGAGAAUCUGGCAGAGGGGGGUAGAAUUCCACGUGUAGCAGUGAAAUGCGUAGAUAUGUGGAGGAACACCGAUGGCGAAGGCAGCCCCCUGGGUCAAGAUUGACGCUCAUGCACGAAAGCGUGGGGAGCAAACAGGAUUAGAAACCCCAGUAGUCCCAUG